GGCAUAUGAUCUUUGCAAGACCGAGGGCCUCUCCUCUCAUUGAUGGCUGACUAGGCCAUCCUCUGUUACAUAUGCAACACAGCUCUGAUGGGUGGGGGUGGUACUGGUUCGUUCAUAGUGUUGUUCCUCCUAUUAGUCUUGCUUUUUUGUAAACAGGCUUGGCCAUUCUACCAACUACCUGUAGCUGAUGUGACAAUGGUUCAAGGCAAGGCAGCCAAGGUAAGGAUAAAAGACCUUUGCCUGGUAGUAGGCCUGCAAAUGAUAGUGUUAGCUUCCUUCCUUCCUCCCUUCCUCCCUCCCUUCCUUCCUUCCUUACUUCCUUCCUUCCUUCCUUCCUGUAAGAACAAAAAAUGUGGUGGAGAAGAACUGGGGCAAGGGUCUGAAAAGGGUUUGCUAAAAGACAAAGGGGAGGAGGCGAGGCGUGUGUUGGAAUGGAACAAAUGGAAGCCCGAAUGAAGCAAAGGCCAAGGCCAACAGCAAAGGCGAGGCGAAAGGAGUGGUUGUGUUGUGGCAAAAGGGGCGACAGGCAGAGCCAAAGAGAGCAUUGGUGGACCUUUUGCCCAGAGUAGGCGCAAGGGAGCUGUCCAAGGAGUCCAGUGCGAGCGUGUUUUGCGAGAAGUCACACUGUGCUCUGUGUGUGCGUGUGUGCGUGUUUGUGUGUUUGUGUGUGUGUGUGUGUGUGUGUGUGUGUGUGUGUGUGUGUGUGUUCGGUGUGUUCGUUGGUGGAGCAAAGAGAGGCAAGGCGAGGCGAAGGCGAAGGCGAAGGCGAAGGCGAAGGCGAAGGCGAAGGCGA
rnacentral:lncRNA from 1 species